ACGUCUUGCGAGUCUUCUUGCUUGUCUCAUCCAUAGCUUGUGGUGCUAACGGCCUGUCCCUCAUAGGCCCUUUCUGAAAAACUUCUGUGCCAAUUGUCCACCUGGCUGCUCCUCGUGCUGCUUGCAAGCACCCAGCUGGAGCCUGGGGGAAAGUGGAGCCACCCAAGGUGUCAAAAUAGCAUGAGCUCGCUCCUUUGGAGGUUGUUUUAUCCUGUGGAGUAGCAGAGAUUCAUCAGACUCAGAGCUGGGCUCAGCACUGAGUACUGGAGGAGGAUGUAGACUGAGGAUCUCAAGGCAAAAAUGAGCGAAGAUGUUGGAAUUGCUCUCUGCAUCUGAAGCACAAGAUGUUAUCCCAGUGGGCAAGGCAGACGUGGAGCCACCCUGGAUUAAAGAUGCUUGAUGAAGGAUUUGGAUGAAUGGCUUGGGCAAAAAGGAGACGAGGAAUUCUGGAGUCUGAAGUCAACGAAGAAGGCCGAUGGUGACAAGCUACAGAGGAUGACAAACUGGCCCUGCAAGAUCCUGUCAAGAUAUACUCCAGUGCACUCAAUUAGGAGGAAAAUGAUGUGUAGUGAGAGAUGCUUCUCUGCCUGGGCACUGUUACGUUGAAGCAUCAGAAGAGGAGUGUCACAGAGCCCCACGGCCGCUGACAAAAGACGGUAAUCCUGGCGACGAGCUACAAGAAAGGGAAGUAAGAAUGUCAGCUGGUGUUGGAAACGGUGGUUGCAGAAAUGGACAGAAGGUGAGAUGCUGCCGAUGAAGACAGAGGAUUCAAGACAUACAAAACACCAGAGCUCUUUGGUGGCUGGAGACAGAGACACGUGGCUUCUGGACACCUUGGAGAGCAGAUCGAGAAGGGUCGCCUGCACAGCAAUGCCCCUUCAAACAUUGGUGGUCUUUUGCUAGUGAAUGUGCACGCUUCCUUCUGAUCAGAACCUUUUGGAUAGUUUUUCUGGAACAUCUUUCCCUGGGGCUUCACCUUGCUUGUGUAACUCUUGUGCAGUAGGAAUUUCUCUGCGUAGCUAUGACUUGCUUCUUCCCUGAUACGUUGGUUCUGACUGCAGAAAGCGUCAUCCUUCCUGCUGGGCACCUUCAGUAACUUAAUCGCUUAGAGAAAUAAGACAGCUUCCUUGCCGUAUAGAUGUAGGAGUACCACUGCUUGAAUACCUCGAGUUGUUUUGAAGCAGUUGAGCAAUUAACGAGGGGUGCUCUUGGAAUUUACUGUGGUCAGGGCGAUUGGAUUGAAGUGGUUUGACAGCUGAGGAGGAUUUGCAGCUUCAGUGAAGGGAACUGUUCCAGGCAGUGUGCUCCCAGAUACUCCGUGUACAGCCUAGUCAAUCUAUUCUACCUUUCAGGGAGCAAAAGAGAUGAGCGAAGUUCCUGAAGUGACUUCAGAAGGCUUGGGAAGCUGUGGCUGACACAAACAUUUCUACUUGACUUAAUUAUCUAGUUCUCUAAACUGAUGACGGCCCAAUUGCCAUUCUGAGUAACGAGCAGCUGUAGUUAUUCUUGGCACCAUCUCACUGCAGAUGUAGGACAUCCUUAAGUUUUGAUAGCUCUGGAUUCUCUGUACUUCUGAUGGCUGCAGAGGAUCAAGUUAAGAUCCUGAAGUUGCUCAAGUGCGGAUUUAAGACCCCUGUGCUUGUUUUACUUAGCUUGAUCCCUUAAAAAUUCAGUAAACAGCAGAAAGGUGCAGUAAGCUCUGCAGAACUGCCGAGUAUCAGUGGAGUUGUACAAGAAAAAAAAAACAACACACUGUUUUUAUGGG